GGAUUCCCUGAGUAACGGCGAGUGAACAGGGAAAAGCCCAGCACCGAAGCCUGUGGUCAUUUGGUCACUAGGCAAUGUGGUGUUCAGGUCGUUCCAUAGAGGUGCUGCUCCACCCUAAGUCCAGCAAUGAGUACGGUGGUACGGACAUGGCCCACAGAGGGUGAAAGGCCCGUGGGGGUGGAGAUCAGGCAGGCCAGUGCCUCUCUGGGUAGACCUUGGAGUCGGGUUGUUUGUGAAUGCAGCCCAAAGUGGGUGGUAAACUCCAUCCAAGGCUAAAUACUUGCACGAGUCCGAUAGCGAACAAGUACCGUGAGGGAAAGUUGAAAAGUACUUUGAAGAGAGAGUAAACAGUGCGUGAAACCGCUCAGAGGUAAACGGGUGGAGUUGAACUGCAAGCUUCGGGAAUUCAGCUGGUGAGUGUGGUUUGGGCUUGGUCAAGUCGGUUGGACAUUGAGGUCUGUGUAGCGGCAGGUCCUUACUCUCGGGUAAGGAUGCGCGAUACACUUAUCAAGUGUUGUGCGCCUCUUUGUUUAUCGGGCCAAUUUGCCAGUGCACUUUCUCGGAGUGUUCACCACGACCGGCACUGCUGUCUGAUUGCUGUGGUUAAACCGGACUUACAGGGCUCUUGUGGCGUUGUAUGGCCGGGAAGGCAGGUAGCUCGUUGGCUAGCUUGCGGUUUACCGCUGGCGUUUGGUUUUCGAGUGUAAAUAGCUGACCACGAUAUUUCUGUGCAGUGUGUCGGAGACGGCGGCUUGUGGUACGUGCGUGCGUGCCGGUUCUGCUGGCGUGUCCGGGUUUGGUUGUCAUGUUGCUUGUGAAUGCAGGCCUGGCAAUGGUUCGGAUUCGUUUGGUGGGCGGUUGCGUAUGUGGUGCCGUUAAGGGCCAACAGUCUGUGGUGUAGUGGUAGACUAUCCACCUGACCCGUCUUGAAACACGGACCAAGGAGAGUAACAUGUGCGCGAGUCAUUGGGCGUAACGAAACCCACAGGCGCAGUGAAAGUAAAGGCUUGGCUUGUCCAGGCUGAGGUGAGAUCCUGUCGUUUUCACACAUGGUGCCACCAAGCAACGAGCGGCAGGCGCAUCACCGGCCCGUCCCAUGACGUAGACACAUAAUCUUCGGACCAGUGCACCGUCGGGGCGGAGCAUGAGCGUACAUGUUGAGACCCGAAAGAUGGUGAACUAUGCUUGCGCAGGUUGAAGCCAGAGGAAACUCUGGUGGAGGACCGCAGCGAUUCUGACGUGCAAAUCGAUCGUCAAACGUGAGUAUAGGGGCGAAA
rnacentral:rRNA from 1 species